rnacentral:rRNA from 1 species
GGCUAGUACCAUACCACCCUGAGAACACCUCAUCUCUUCUGAUCUCAGCAGCUAAACAGGACAGGGUCCAGUUAGCACUUGGAUAACAGACUGCUUGGGAAUACUGGGUGCUGUAGGCU